UUCUGGCUGUCACAGCUCUUUUGCCUUUCCUUUUAGGAAGUCAAGGCAUAGAGCUGCAGUCCAGGCCAGUGGGCAAGGUGGUCCACUUGUGAUCUAUCCCGGCCGAGGCCGCUCAUGCGAGGUGCUGUCGCUGCCCUAAGCAUGAUCAAGGAACAGAGGAGGGCAGGUGUCUUCUGGGAUGCCUCCUGAGUCAAAUCAAGUUUUGAGGUACCCUGAGCAGGCUCGUAGCCACAGCUGGGAAGCGGCAGCACCGAAGCACACACAUCGAGAACAUCUCAACGCGCACGUCCGACUGAGGCUGGAUUUUGUCCGCUCGUCUUCCAAAAGCUAAGUGUCGGGGCGGCGGUCGGGAGAAGGGGAAAAGCCUUUAGUAUCACAGGGGGCAGUUUCACGUCAGCUUAGCUGAGAGGUCUGUAGUGGGACGGGCUCUUUGAAAUUAAAGAGAGAGGGUUUGUCCUCAGCCUCACGAGAGCCUUUGCCGGGCAGGGCAGUUCCGACCCAUCUGCACGUUCUCGUGGACUUUG